rnacentral:lncRNA from 1 species
AGAAGGGCUGCACAAAUGAUCCCAGGGACUGAACACAUCUUCUACCAGGACAGGCUGAGAGCUGGGGCUGUGCAGCUGGGAGAAGAGAAAGCUCUGGGAAGACCUGAUGGCAGCCCUUCUGUACCUGAAGGGGGGUUGUAAGAAAGGGACGACUCUUUAGCUUGUGACAGGACAAGGGGAAAUGAUUUCACAUGAGAAGACUGGAGAUUUAGAUUGGACAUAAGGGAGGAGUUCUUUACAGUGAGGUUGAUGAAGCACUGGAACAGGCUGCUCAGGGAGGUGGUGGGUGCUCUGUGCUAAGAAACAUGUAAGAUCAGGCUGGACUAGGCUCUGAUCAAGAUGUAGGUGCGCCUGUGUAUUGCAGGGGAGAUGGGCUACAUGACCUUUAAGUGUCCCUUCCAACUCAAAUGAUUCUAUGGUAGUAGUUCCCACUAAUCUCAUGCAGUGUCUAAAAUCAGUUUUCUGUCAUGCUUGUAAUUAUUACAUUUUUUUCAUUGAUCCAGAGUUCCUUCCUUAAAAAUGCCUUUAUUCCAAUUUGCCAGAAUUAGAGCAUAUAAUGUAUUGCUUUAAUUUGUUUUACCCUGAACAAAGACAUAUUCCUGUAAGUCAAGUAUGUGUAAGAUACUCCAAUAGCUGUUAAAUGUAUCAUUUCAGCGUAUUUGGUGAAGACUCAGUUUUUCAGUCUCUUUUAGGAUCAGCAAAAAGCAGCAACAUAUCUUGUAAUCUCUUGGGAAAUGCCAAAAAAUUCACUACCAUUCCUGUAUCCACCACAUAAUUUAGAGAGAUAUUCUAGUAAUUCCAACGCUUUGAAUGUAAAUAGAAUGCUGGUUACUUGUUACUUCAUAAGAAAAGAAUUAGCAGCUUUGCCACCCACUAUUUCUGCAUCACACCUAAAUGACAAGAUUAUAUUAAAAAAACACCUCAUCCAGUUGCUGUACCAGGUUCUGCUAACUGAAACCAUAAGCCUCCUGCAGCGAAGUCAGAUACCCAAUAGUCUCUUCACGGAUCAGACGCCUGCAUCAGAUAUUUAA